GGUAGAUAGCUGAAUGGCUUAUCAUUGGAAUGGGACCAGUGGCCUUAUAAGAAGAGAGACCUGAGCUAGCACACACAGCCCCCUCACAUGGGCCACCUCAGUACUCUGCAGGGUCCCCACCAGCAGGAAAGCCUUCACCAGAUAUGGCCCUUUGACUCUGACUUCUCAGCCUCCAUAACCGAUGUCUAAACACCCAGGUUGACAACCACAGUCUUAAUAUUUCAUUAACUCCAGAAAUAGAAGAAAGUGUCUAAUUUCAGCAGGAUUGGUGUAUUCUCCCUCAUUCUUGGUGGAAAGAAAAGUGCUUGAGAUAGAGAAGCUGGGACGGGAGCAGAAGGAGGCUGUACACCUCCCCUCAGAGGAGCAGUCCCUCUAUAGAAGACCAAAAGCGGGCAGAGAAUAUUCAAACUUGCCCCUGUUUGCCAAGGAGACUGAGUAAAUGUCCAGCUCAGCAUGAAAGUGAUAAAGCCCAAGUGGAGUCCACAGACUGCUCAUCCUCAUUCUGUCUCCAUGCUAGAGAAGCAGGCCAGGUCUUCAUUUAUGAGAGAAGGGAUUUAUGAGAGAUCGACCAAAAAAAAAGAUAGAGAGAAAUGAUGACAAGUGUGAGAAGACUGACUUAUGAAGGGAUAAGACGAUAGAAGAGGAGAGGGAGGAAAAAAGAAGAGCAACCAAUGGAGCCACCCAAGAAGUUUAGAUCUUAGAGAACAGGAAGGAUCACAAUGACUCUUCUUGCAUUAGUAACAAUAACUACCAUUUAUCAGGCCCUUGCCAUGUGAGACAGGGAUGAAUGGAUGGAUGAAUAUAUAAAUAGGUAUGCAGCUAUGCAUAUAUGUACAUAGAUGUCAUGUAGUUUAAUUCCAGUUAACUUAAUCCUUAUUUAGGAAGAGUCACUAAAUAACUCUUGUUCCUAACAAAGUGCCUGAGAGUGGGUGCAACACUGCUCAGCACAUUAACCAUAUUUACCGUCUAAGAGAUAGAAAGCAACCUGUCUCGUUUGAUGAGGAAGCCAUAAAGUUUUAGGGAAUGGGAAGUAAAUCAAC
rnacentral:lncRNA from 1 species